rnacentral:rRNA from 1 species
UGGGGAAUUUUGGACAAUGGGCGAAAGCCUGAUCCAGCAAUGCCGCGUGUGUGAAGAAGGCCUUCGGGUUGUAAAGCACUUUUGUCCGGAAAGAAAUCCUUGGCUCUAAUACAGUCGGGGGAUGACGGUACCGGAAGAAUAAGCACCGGCUAACUACGUGCCAGCAGCCGCGGUAAUACGUAGGGUGCAAGCGUUAAUCGGAAUUACUGGGCGUAAAGCGUGCGCAGGCGGUUUGCUAAGACCGAUGUGAAAUCCCCGGGCUCAACCUGGGAACUGCAUUGGUGACUGGCAGGCUAGAGUAUGGCAGAGGGGGGUAGAAUUCCACGUGUAGCAGUGAAAUGCGUAGAGAUGUGGAGGAAUACCGAUGGCGAAGGCAGCCCCCUGGGCCAAUACUGACGCUCAUGCACGAAAGCGUGGGGAGCAAACAGGAUUAGAUACCCUGGUAGUCCACGCCCUAAACGAUGUCAACUAGUUGUUGGGGAUUCAUUUCCCUAGUAACGUAGCUAACGCGUGAAGUUGACCGCCUGGGGAGUACGGUCGCAAGAUUAAAACUUAAAGGAAUUGACGGGGUCAUAGCUGUUUCCU